rnacentral:rRNA from 1 species
GACGAACGCUGGCGGCGUGCUUAACACAUGCAAGUCGAACGGAAAGGCCCUGCUUUUGUGGGGUGCUCGAGUGGCGAACGGGUGAGUAACACGUGAGUAACCUGCCCUUGACUUUGGGAUAACUUCAGGAAACUGGGGCUAAUACCGGAUAGGAGCUCCUGCUGCAUGUUGGGGGUUGGAAAGUUUCGGCGGUUGGGGAUGGACUCGCGGCUUAUCAGCUUGUUGGUGGGGUAGUGGCUUACCAAGGCUUUGACGGGUAGCCGGCCUGAGAGGGUGACCGGCCACAUUGGGCCUGAGAUACGGCCCAGACUCCUACGGGAGGAAGCAGUGGGGAAUAUUGCAAAAUGGGCGGAAGCAGGAUGCAGCAACGCCGCGUGCGAGAUGACGGCCUGCGGGUUGUAAACCGCUUUCGCCUGUGACGAAGCGUGAGUGACGGUAAUGGGUAAAGAAGCACCGGCUAACUACGUG